AAAAAUUUAUUAUCAACAAAUCAAAGAUAAUAUGCACAAAUUAGAGUGACAAUCACAAAUCAGAGACAAAUGAGUAAAUACGUUUAGUGAUCAAUGAUAAGAAAACAUCUUGUGACAAACGUAUUGAUGAUAAAAUCAUGUCAGAAACUUACAAUGAUGUAGCAGAGCUGAUAGGAAAAGAGAUUUGAUCAAGUCACAUUCAUAUGCAAUGCAAAACACCAAAUAGAGCCACUUGAACUGCCAUUAUUGUUGCAUUCUAAAACAGGCAGGUGUAGCAAAACUUCAAGGAUGAAAAACACUGAAAGAACAAAUGCAUCUUAUUAUAUAUCAAGUUUUUUUAAAUGCAUCUAAUAUAAAGUAAAUUACAACUUAUUUAUGUUUAUUUGUUCUAAGCAAACUCAAAAACUCAAGCGUUUAGUGUUUUUUAGAAAACCUCAUAUAUCUUGUUCAAUAAACAACCAAUUUAGGAAACAUAAAACAUCUUUUCAGAAUGUGAAAAUUAAAUAGAAAUUAAAAUCAAACAUCUUAUAUGCAACAAAAAAACUCCAUAACAUGCAUUAAAACAAAACAAUAUCUUAUAAAUCUAAUUUCCUAACAUCUAUCCAUUCACUCAACAAUUGUAACAAGAAAAGAGAGAUAGAUAUUAACCGAGUUGAUAACAAUGGCAUAAUAAAGUAAGUAAUAAACAAUUCCAACGAUGAACGAAAUCGAGAGAUGAAUUGAAAUUCGGAGACAAACCUUUUGACGAAUAGAGAGGGAAAAGAUGGAAAUAAGUUGGAAUCUUCGUAAAGGCGAGCACAGAUCGUGACAUAAUAAAGUGAACAGCAGAGAGCGAGCAUGAAGCAC
rnacentral:lncRNA from 1 species